AUAUUUUAUCCCAAUUUUCUAGCUAUCUCUCUGUGGCAGAAUCUGGGCAAGUAGUCGAAUCACUAUUUGUCAUUAUUUUUUUCAAAAAAAGAAGGGGGAUGUCGUCUACCCCUUAAAGCAUCCAUACUCUUGCUCUCUAAAAAGAGUACUUAGCUACAAUAGUUAGCAAAGUGGUUUUUUUCCAUAGCAUUGUUACCAGCAAAAAGGCUCUCUAUUUUGGCAAAGUUAACGAUGCUCUGUAGCUCUCUCUCUCUCUCUCUCUCUCUCUCUAUUGCUGGGAUACAAUGGCGGGGAAGAGUGCCUGACUCGAGUGACAAAGAAGGCUGCCAUUUUUAUGCGGGUGUUGUCGUCAAAGUUUUCACUUUUGAAGAAGUGAUUGUGCAUAACACACCCAAGGACUCUUGGCUUAUUAUCAACGGCAAGGUGAGAUCUUUUACUGACUUUUCUUGAAAUAUGUGUUCUCUGUUCUUUGGGAUCUAUUCAUGUAGCUUACCUUUCUUAAUUCAAUCAGUGGCUAUCCAAUGUGUUAGAACUAGUUUCUUCACUGUUUAAAUGUAUAGAAAAUUUAUAUAGUGCAUUUCUAAUGAUUAAUUUGCUGUCGAAAUUGUGUUAUAGAGGGAUUGGGCAGUAGGAAGAUCAACUAAUGGAAUUAUGCUUGUGUAAAAGGAUUAGAAAUUUUAUAAUUUAAAUAAUAAUUAUAAAAAAUUAUUCUUGAUUCUCCA